AGCAUCUUUCAGUGGGGAGGAAAGGUAUGAUGGUUAAUACCUAUUCAUCUGUGUCGUCAACCACAGAAGAAGCACCUGCUAACUCCGUGCAGCAGCCGCGGUAAUAACGGAGGGUGCAAGUCGAUAAUAGUAAUUACUGGGCGUAAAGCGUGCAGCAGGCGGUCUGUAAACGAGAUGUGAAAGCCCCGGGGCUCAACGUGGGAACUGCAUUUGAACUGGCAGACUAGAGUCUUGUAGAGGGGGGUAGAAUUCCAGGUGUAGCGGUGAAAUGCGUAGAGAUCUGGAGGAAUACCGGUGGCGAAGGCGGCCCCCUGGACAAAUACUGACGCUCAGGCACGAAAGCGUGGGGAGCAAACAGGAUUAGAUACCGUGGUAGUCCACGCCGUAAACGAUGUCUACUCGGAGUUUGUUGUCUUGAACACUGGCUUCUGAAGCUAACGCAUUAAGUAGACCGCCUGGGGAGUACGGCCGCAAGGUUAAAACUCAAAUGAAUUGACGGGGGCCCGCACAAGCGGUGGAGCAUGUGGUUUAAUUCGAUGCAACGCGAAGAACCUUACCUACUCUUGACAUCCAGAGAACUUUCCAGAGAUGGAUUGGUGCCUUCGGGAACUAUGAGACAGGUGCUGCAUGGCUGUCGUCAGCUCGUGUUGUGAAAUGUUGGGUUAAGUCCCGCAACGAGCGCAACCCUUAUCCUUACUUGCCAGCGGGUAAUGCCGGGAACUUUAGGGAGACUGCCGGUGAUAAACCGGAGGAAGGUGGGGACGACGUCAAGUCAUCAUGGCCCUUACGAGUAGGGCUACACACGUGCUACAAUGGUCGGUACAGAGGGUUGCGAAGCCGCGAGGUGGAGCUAAUCUCAUAAAGCCGGUCGUAGUCCGGAUUGGAGUCUGCAACUCGACUCCAUGAAGUCGGAAUCGCUAGUAAUCGUGCAUCAGAACGCCCCGGUGAAUUGUUCCCUCUCCUUGUACCC
rnacentral:rRNA from 1 species